rnacentral:rRNA from 1 species
GGCGAACGGGUGAGUAACGCGUGAGCAAUCUACCUUAGUUACAGGGAUAGCCCGAGGAAACUCGGAUUAAUACCUGAUAUUCUUUAUUUCUCGCAUGAGAAUAAAAGGAAAGGUCAGCCGAACUAAGAUGAGCUCGCGUUCUAUCAGCUAGUUGGUGAGGUAAAAGCUUACCAAGGCUACGACGGAUAGCUGGUCUGAGAGGACGAUCAGCCACACUGGGACUGAGACACGGCCCAGACUCCUACGGGAGGCUGCAGUAGGGAAUAUUGUGCAAUGAACGAAAGUUUGACACAGCGACACCGCGUGUGGGAUGACGGAUCUAGGUUUGUAAACCACUUUCAGGAGGGAAGAAAAUGACGGUACCUCCACAAGAAGCCCCGGCCAACUACGUGCCAGCAGCCGCGGUAAUACGUAGGGGGCGAGCGUUGUCCGGAUUUAUUGGGCGUAAAGAGCUCGUAGGCGGUUCAACAAGUCGGUCGUGAAAGUUCAGGGCUCAACCCUGAAAUGUCGAUCGAUACUGUUGUGACUAGGAUACGGUAGAGGUGAGUGGAAUUCCGAGUGUAGCGGUGAAAUGCGUAGAUAUUCGGAGGAACACCAAUUGCGAAGGCAGCUCACUGGACCGCUAUCGACGCUGAGGAGCGAAAGCUAGGGGAGCAAACAGGAUUGGAUACCCUGGUAGUCCUAGCUGUAAACGAUGGAUACUAGACGUAGGAACUGGAUUGACGGUUUCUGUGUCGUAGCUAACGCGUUAAGUAUCC